rnacentral:rRNA from 1 species
CUGCGUACGGCUCAUUACACCAGCUGUAAUUUACUUGACCUUGACAAGCUACUUGGAUAACUGUGGUAAUUCUAGAGCUAAUACAUGCACCAAAGCUCCGAUCCGCUUGCGGAGAGGAGCGCAUUUGUUCGCCACAAAACCAAGCGCCUCACAAAGGCGUUCAGUGUUGACUCAGAAUAACUAAGCUGAUCGCACGGUCUUGCACCGGCGACGUGUCUUUCAAGUGUCUGCCUUAUCAACUUUCGAUGGUAGUGUACCUGACUACCAUGGUGAUGACGGGUAACGGAGGAUCAGGGUUCGACUCCGGAGAAGGGGCCUGAGAAAUGGCCACUACGUCUAAGGAUGGCAGCAGGCGCGCAAAUUACCCACUCUCGAUGUGAGGAGGUAGUGACGAGAAAUAACGAGACCGAUCUCACAUGAGGCCGGUCAUCGGAAUGGGUACAAUUUAAACCCUUUAACGAGUAUCUAUGAGAGGGCAAGUCUGGUGCCAGCAGCCGCGGUAAUUCCAGCUCUCAAAAUGCAUAGAAUUAUUGCUGCGGUUAAAAAGCUCGUAGUUGGAUCUGUGCUGGGCGACCGGUCCACCCACUGGGUGCGCACUGGCUCGCCCGGCUUUCCUGCCCGGUUCGCUUCCGGCGUUCGUGCCGCAAGGCGUGUUCGUCGGUGGCCGGGCGAGUUUACUUUGAACAAAUCAGAGUGCUUCAAACAGGCGUUUCGCUUGAAUGUUCGUGCAUGGAAUAAUAGAAGAGGAUUUCGGUCCGAUUUUAUUGGUUUUGCUGACCGAGAUAAUGGUUAACAGAGACAAACGGGGCCAUUCGUAUUGCUGCGUGAGAGGUGAAAUUCUUGGACCGUAGCAAGACGGACUACAGCGAAAGCAUUUGGCAAGAAUGUCUUCAUUAAUCAAGAACGAAAGUCAGAGGUUCGAAGGCGAUCAGAUACCGCCCUAGUUCUGACCGUAAACGAUGCCAACUAGCGAUCCGCCGGCGGAUUCAUUCGCCCUGGUGGGGAGCUUCCCGGAAACGAAAGUCUUCCGGUUCCGGGGGAAGUAUGGUUGCAAAGCUGAAACUUAAAGGAAUUGACGGAAGGGCACCACCAGGAGUGGAGCCUGCGGCUUAAUUUGACUCAACACGGGGAAACUCACCCGGCCCGGACACCGUAAGGAUUGACAGAUUGAUAGCUUUUUCAUGAUUCGGUGGAUGGUGGUGCAUGGCCGUUCUUAGUUCGUGGAGCGAUUUGUCUGGUUUAUUCCGAUG